rnacentral:rRNA from 1 species
UACGUAGGCAGCGAGCGUUGUUCGGAGUUACUGGGCGUAAAGGGGGUGUAGGCGGUUGUUUAAGUUUGGUGUGAAAUCUCCCGGCUCAACUGGGAGGGUGCGCCGAAUACUGAAUGACUUCGAGUGCGGGAGAGGUGAGUGGAAUUCCUGGUGUAGCGGUGAAAUGCGUAGAUAUCAGGAGGAACACCGGUGGUGUAGACGGCUCACUGGACCGUAACUGACGCUGAGACACGAAAGCGUGGGUAGCAAACAGG